UUUCCGUAGGUGAACCUGCGGAAGGAUCAUUAUUGUAUAACAGAGGUGCGAGGGCUGUCGCGGACCAGAAAGGUCGUGCACGCCCUGUUGCCCUCACACACAUACAUCUCACCCCUAUGUGCACAACCGCGAGGGUCCCACUUUGGCUGGUUCGGAGGGGGGCUUACGUUUUCACACAAACUUUGUAUGCAGUGUAGAAUGUAUUUUUUGUUUUUGCGAUCACGCAAUCAAUACAACUUUCAACAACGGAUCUCUUGGCUCUC
rnacentral:misc_RNA from 1 species